rnacentral:rRNA from 1 species
AGAGUUUGAUUCUGGCUCAGAACGAACGCUGGCGGCGUGUUUAAGACAUGCAAGUCGCACGGUGUCAUUUAUGUAGCAAUACUUGGAUGGCACAGUGGCGCACGGGUGAGUAACACGUGAAUGACAUGCCCUUGAGUGGGGAAUAGCCCAGGGAAACUUGGAUUAAUACCCCAUGGCAUCGCGAGAUUAAAGGCGGCCGCAAGGCUGUCGCUCAAGGAUUGGUUCGCGUUCUAUCAGCUUGUUGGCGGGGUAACGGCCCACCAAGGCUACGACGGAUACCUGGUCUGAGAGGACGAUCAGCCACACUGGAACUGAGACACGGUCCAGACACCUACGGGUGGCAGCAGUCGAGAAUAAUUCACAAUGGGGGCAACCCUGAUGGUGCAACGCCGCGUGGAGGAUGACGGUCUUCGGAUUGUAAACUCCUGUCAUCCGGGAGUAAGACCUGGGAGUUAAUAGCUCACAGGGUUGAUAGUACCGGAAGAGGAAGGGACGGCUAACUUCGUGCCAGCAGCCGCGGUAAUACGAAGGUCCCGAGCGUUGUUCGGAAUCACUGGGCGUAAAGGGAGCGUAGGCGGCGUGGUAAGUCAGACGUGAAAUCCCGGGGCUCAACCCCGGAACUGCGUCCGAUACUGCCAUGCUUUGAGGGUUGGAGAGGUAGCUGGAAUUCUUGGUGUAGCAGUGAAAUGCGUGGAUAUCAAGAGGAACACUCGUGGCGAAAGCGAGCUACUGGACAACACCUGACGCUGAGGCUCGAAGGCCAGGGGAGCGAACGGGAUUAGAUACCCCGGUAGUCCUGGCAGUAAACG